rnacentral:lncRNA from 1 species
AUGUAAGCUUGUUUUUGACUUGUGGAUGUAGAUCUGUGGAAUGCUCAGUGUUUCCCAAGCCUCUCAAACCUGGUGAGACACAACCUUCAAACUCUACCUCCCCUGGAGGUCUUGUUAAGGCUUCGUUUUAGUCCUCCUCAAGGUGGGUGUAAGCUAAGAGAGUUCACCUCCCUCAAGUAACCACAGAGUUCCCGUGGCAUCAGCUCGCGUGUGCCCAUCGGCGGACUCAGCUCACUACGUUCCUGCUCAUCGUCAAGAGAUCCGGCCCUUCUUCCCUUUGAUUUGACUUGACCGUCUUAAUAAUUGUCUGAGUUAAAAAAACAAACAAAAAAUAAAAACAAAAAACAAGAAGUUUUAAA